rnacentral:rRNA from 1 species
UACGGAGGGGGCUAGCGUUGUUCGGAAUUACUGGGCGUAAAGCGCACGUAGGCGGCUUUGUAAGUUAGAGGUGAAAGCCCGGGGCUCAACUCCGGAAUUGCCUUUAAGACUGCAUCGCUAGAAUUGUGGAGAGGUAAGUGGAAUUCCGAGUGUAGAGGUGAAAUUCGUAGAUAUUCGCAAGAACACCAGUGGCGAAGGCGGCUCACUGGCCCGGUACUGACGCUCAGGCGCGACAGCGUGGGGAUCAAACAGG